rnacentral:rRNA from 1 species
AUUGAACGCUGGCGGCAGGCCUAACACAUGCAAGUCGAGCGGAUGAAGGGAGCUUGCUCCUGGAUUCAGCGGCGGACGGGUGAGUAAUGCCUAGGAAUCUGCCUGGUAGUGGGGGAUAACGUCCGGAAACGGGCGCUAAUACUGCAUACGUCGUGAGGGAGAAAGAGGGGGAUCUUCGGACCUCACGCUAUCAGAGGAGCCUAGGUGGGGUUAGCUAGCUGGUGGGGUAAAGGCCUACCAAGGCGACGAUCCGUAACUGGUCUGCGAGGAUGAUAGGUCACCUUGGAGCUUAGACACCUUCCCUCCUCCUGCGGCACGCACCAGUCUGGAAUAUUGGACAAUAGGCGAAAGCCUGAUCCAGCCCUGCCACGUCUGUGAAGAUAGUCUUCGGAUUGUAAUGCACUUUAACUUGUGAUGAACCGCAUUAAGUUGAUACCAUGCUUGUUUGACGUUACCUACAAAAGAAGCACCGGCUAACUUCGUG